UCUUAAAAGAAACUUUAAAGUAACCCAGCAAAUUUUCUUCUAGUUAUUUGCGCUAAAAGUUGCUCUUAGUCGUGUCGUGUGAACGUUUGUGUAUUGACGGUGACAAAUCUUGUCUGGGUCUGUCCCGUUAGCGGAGGUGAACGAUGCUAGCGUCAAACGGAUCCGUCAUGGACCUGCGGUCGCAGUUUGUCAAAGUUAAAGCACAUUACUGUGGGGAUAUGUUGAUCACAGGACCUACCUGCCACUGUAACCUUCAUGGAGUUGUGUGAAGAGGUGAGGAAGAUGUGCAGUGUUGCCAAGCAGCAGCCAAUCACACUCAAAUGGAUUGAUGAUGAAGGGGAUCCUUGUACCAUCUCUUCUCAGAUGGAGCUGGAAGAGGCUUUUCGCAUCUACAGUCGAUCCAAAAAGUCUGGACUCCUUCUGCAUGUUUUCCCCAGUAUCCCGGAGCAGCCUGGUAUGCCAUGCCCCGGCGAGGACA